GAUGUAUAGAUAUGGACAAAUUCUCUUGAAAAUUGAAUGCACAUUCAAACUAUCUAAACACAACUACCAUGCCCCUGGUUAAGAUUAAGGGUUUUUAAAUCUGAAAGAAACACCAACUUCUAGGCUUAAAGUGGUUAACUAGGGAUUAACUCCUUAUCUCUUCGGUGUUUGGGGAUUUGAAACAAUGGCUUAUAUCAUCAGCAAAGUUUUCUUUGAAAGCACACCGCAUCAAUUAUGGGUAAUUGGUU
rnacentral:lncRNA from 1 species